AUGUACAUCCACCAAAAGCAAACCCACCGGUCGGUCGGAUCCGACCUCCGAGCCCCGCCAGCACCAACUAUCCCGCGAAGAGAACCCCACUGCCGCGGCCGGAAAUCUCACCUGUCAGUUCAUCUACCUAGCUCGCCGUCUCGUCGCCAGCCACCCUCCUCUCGCCGGGGCAGUGAUCCCGCCAUGGCCUCCUGGCUCAAGGUCGCCGAAGACUUGCUCGAAGUGGUCGACCGGAGGGCGAAAAGCGUGGCCACCGAGCUGUCCGAUGAGCAGACUGCUCCUCAGCCUUCAGGACCGAAUGGCCAAGAAGGGCAAGCAAAGAGGGGAAAGCCCAGGGAGAAGGGUCCAUUGAAGCUCACUACUGGGGAUGCAGGUAACAGGACAGCAGCUCAGAAGGAGAGGAAAAACAGGCAACCGCCGCGUGAGAGGAUUAAGAUUGAGAAGAUCAAACCUUCGGCACGUGCAGAUUCAUCAAAUGAUGAUGCUAUUGCUAUUCCCAGUGCCAGUGAACCUGAAGUCACUUCAGUUGAUGUUAAGGGAGCGAAUGCUGAGAGCACGUCGGACAAAGUGGAGAACGCCACUGUUGACCUUAAAAAUGAUACAGCUGCUAAUGCUAUCGAUAAUGCGGUUGAAGUCCAGUCGAUGGAGAAAACACCUGAGGAUACAGGUCCCAUCACGGAUCAUGUUGCAGGUUCUGGACAUUUGGAGAGUGCCUCUGGAAGCUCUGCUCCUUCAGUUCCAGACGAAAAAAAUGAGCCAAGCAGUAGUAACCAGUCUACUGAGAUUGGUUUAGCAGUCAGUUUGGAGGAUAAAGACACAGCUGUGGCUGUUAUCCAGGAGAGAACUAUCUCUGGAGUACCCGAUACACAAGGUUCUGGCAUAUCCCAAGAUUUGAAGAAAGAUAAUUUGUCAGAUCCACCAGAAAUCGCACAAAAUCAACAGGAACAUAAGUCUGAUUCAGUUCCUCUGAAGGAUCAAGACCAACUUGAGGAGGCUCAGGGAUUACUAAAAAGCGCUGCAAAAACUGGCCAGUCAAAAGAAGCUAGAUUAGCUCGGGUCUGUGCUGGACUUUCAUCCCGUCUCCAAGAAUAUAAAUCCGAGAAUGCACAGCUAGAAGAGCUUCUUGUUCAGGAGAGAGAGAAAUGUAGCUCACAUGAAGCUCAUAUAAAGCAACUACAGCAAGAACUAUCGGUGUCCAGAGUACAAGGUUCACGAGUUGAAUCUAACAUGGUUGAUGCUUUGGCUGCAAAAAACACUGAGAUUGAAUCUCUAGCUAAAUCGUUGGACUCUUGGAAGAAAAAAGCAGCAGCUUCAGAAGAAAUGCUGGCAUCUUUACAGGAAGAUAUGGAUGGCCUUAAGAGGAACCGUGAGCUUACUGAAACCAGGAUCAUCCAGGCUCUACGAGAGGAACUUUCAACCGUGGAGCGGAGGGCUGAAGAGGAGCGUAUUGCACAUAACGCUACAAAGAUGGCAGCUGUUGACAGAGAAGUAGAAUUGGAGCAUCGGGCUGUCGAGGCAUCAAAUGCUCUUGCUAGAAUCCAGAGAGCUGCUGAUCAAAGCUCAUCGAGAGCAAUGGAAUUUGCGCACAAAGUAGCUGUACUUGAGGUUGAAUGUGCAUCACUGCACCAAGAACUACAGGAAAUGGAAGCUCGUAAUCGCCGUGCUCAGAAAAAGCCUUCUGAAGAUGCUAAUCAAGCUCUUCAGAUACAGGCAUGGCAGGAGGAAGUUGAGCGAGCACGGCAAAGCCAAAGAGAGGCAGAAAGCAAGAUAUUAUCCUUGGAGGCUGAGUUGCAGAAGAUGAGAGUUGAAAUGGCUGGAAUGAGACGAGACGCAGAGCAUUAUUCUAGACAGGAGCAUGUUGAGCUAGAGAAAAGAUACCGUGAGCUCACUGAUUUGCUGUACCACAAGCAAACACAAUUAGAAUCCAUGGCCAGUGAAAAAGGUGCAUUAGAGUUCCAACUGGAGAAAUCAUUGAAGCAAUUCCAUGAAGUGCAGGUAGAAGCAGAAAGGAGUAGGGUUUCUCGCAGAUCAGCAUCAUCAUGGGAAGAAGAUACUGAUAUCAAUGCGCUAGAGCCUCUUCCUCUGCAUCAUCGACACAUGGCAACGGCAAAUCAUCAGUUACAAAAAGCUGCGAAGUUUUUAGAUUCAGGGGCUGUGAGGGCGACAAGAUUUUUGUGGCGGCAUCCUGUUGCCCGAGUCAGCCUUCUAUUCUAUCUGGUGUUUGUGCAUUUGUUCUUGAUGUACUUGAUGCAGCGCCUGCAGGACUUUGCAGCGGAAGAGACUGUGAAAUCGUCCAUGGGGGACCUGGCCAACGUGAAGUUGCCAUAG
rnacentral:rRNA from 1 species